rnacentral:rRNA from 1 species
GACGAACGCUGGCGGCGUGCUUAACACAUGCAAGUCGAGCGGUAAGGCCCUUUCGGGGGCACACGAGCGGCGAACGGGUGAGUAACACGUGGGUGACCUGCCCUCAGCUCUGGGAUAAGCCUGGGAAACCGGGUCUAAUACUGGAUAUGACUCCAUGACGCAUGUUGUGGGGUGGAAAGCCUUGUGCGGCUGAGGAUGGGCCCGCGGCCUAUCAGCUUGUUGGUGGGGUGAUGGCCUACCAAGGCGACGACGGGUAGCCGGCCUGAGAGGGCGACCGGCCACACUGGGACUGAGACACGGCCCAGACUCCUACGGGAGGCAGCAGUGGGGAAUCUUGCGCAAUGGGCGAAAGCCUGACGCAGCGACGCCGCGUGAGGGAUGACGGCCU